UGUGAAGCCUGGAGGGAAAAUGAAUCAGAGUUAGACGUUUUCUGUUACAGGUUCAGCAAACAUCCCUGUGGCUGACCAUGGCUCUGCCUGUUGUUGUAUUCCUGUUGGCUCUCAUUGCCCUGGGUGCUGCAUCUGCACCUGACUGUAAGGAGCUCGUAAAGCCUUUUAUGCCAGAGGACCCCAAACAGGUGUUUGGAAAAUGGAUUUAUGUGAUGGGAGCUGGGGACCCCAAACAGUACCACAAAGCACUGGAGUCUCUGAAAAGCUCCUGGAUAGACUUGUCCCCGACUUCCAGCGAUCAGACUGUGACUUUGUGAUGGAGAGAUCACUGCUUUAACCGGUGCAUCGUGGGGGAGGCAAAUGCCACCAUCUCAGGGAUUGCUACCACAUUUCGCAAAAAUCUGUCAGACCACAAAGGGCACAUCCUGCAGACUUGCUCUGACUGCCUCCUGUGGACCGACACCUUCCGAAAUGGGGACGUCACUGGCAGAUACAUCCUGCA